AGUUGUUAGUGACGAUUUUAUUCUAUGUCUGAUCAUGAUAUAUUGGUAGAAAGAUAUAGUGCAGCUUUUAUUUUUAUACAUUGAAUUGUAAUUUUAGAAAGCUGAGACGGACAAUAAAUAGUAGUAGUUUCAAGAAAAUGACAACAAUCGCAAGAAUUUCACAAGCAAAUAUCGUGCAAGCUACAAGGAAACAUACAGCUACUGUGUUUUUUUUCCACGGUUCCGGUGGCACAGCAGAAGAUGUCAAAGAAUGGAUUGACAUUCUUAACAGAGAAAAACUACAGUUUCCACAUAUAAAAUUAAUUUAUCCCAGCGCACCAAGUCAACCUUAUACACCAAAUGACGGAAUGAUGCAAAAUGUAUGGUUUGAUCGUAUAGCAAUAUCUAAUCAAGUGCCAGAACAUAUAGAGUCAAUUGAUUCUAUGUGUCAAAAUAUAUCAGAGUUGAUCGAUAAAGAAGUAGCUAAUGGAAUUCCAUUUAACAGAAUAAUUUUGGGUGGCUUUUCAAUGGGUGGUUGUCUUGCAUUGCAUUUAACAUACAGAUACAAAACAUCCAUAGCUGGUUGCUUCGCUAUGUCUUCUUUUCUGAACAAUGGAUCUAUAAUCUAUGAGCACUUAAAAGCAAGGCCAGAACAUAAUAAGGUUCCACUUGUUCAAUAUCAUGGUACAGUAGAUACUUUAGUUCCUAUUAAAUGGGGUGAAGAGACUGCUAACAAUUUGAAGGAGCUUGGCGUAAAUGUAAAAUUUACACCGCUACAAAAUAUUGAUCAUGAAUUGAGUCGUGGAGAGAUUCAAAGUUGGAAAGAUUGGCUCCUUAAUAUCUUACCAGAUAAAUAAUAAUGUCAAUUGAUACAAUUGUUAAAUUCACAUGGAAUAUGCUCACAAUUCAUUUCAUAUAAACAGAUGUUACUUGAAUCAAUUCUUGGAUUUUUUCUUGAAUUUUGAAAUGCCCGAGAUGCUUUUAAAUGUUGAACAUUAAUCGUUAAGCUUCGUAAUACAUGUGUAUGUGUUUGGUGUCGACAUUCAGCAAGCAAAAUAUUGGCGACAGAGAUCAAGCAGAUCUGCUAUGUUGUGAUAUUAUAGUUUGAAAAUUCUUAAAAUCUUGGUCCUUGGGUCGCUUGGCCCUCGAUAUCAUGGAAAAAAAUAUUUCCCCGCAUCGGAGAUUAAGAUCGCGAUCCUCCCUCCUCCAGCUUUCCUUGCCAUCCCUUUUAGCGUGUAUAUGCACGCAUGCGACGAAAGUGAAGAAGGGGCAAAUCGCGCCGACGAGUCCAUCGGCAACGAGUGCGCAGUGAAACGAAGAGGGUUGAACUGCGACGGAAUUGCUGCGCCUUUCGGAUAACUCCGGAUGGGGUGGGUGGUGGAUAGCCCCACUGGCCGCCUGGCGUUCUCGUUCUCGCUACCGAUGUCACGUCAUGACACGGACGUUUAUUUUUCGUCGCAGUAUCGACUUUUAUGAGAAAGAUAUAAAGCACACGUUAUCAGUUAUUAGUUGCAAUACAAAAUACCUCGAUGUGGAAUCGAUGUUUAACAACGAGGAACUUGCGAGGAGGGUGAACAUGAAAGGGAACGGAUUAGUGCGUGUCGAGCUAAAAAUAUUCCUAUAGGGGGAAAUCUUUAAAAAGAACGAGACAAUAUAGACACAUACACAUAGAAAAUAUAUAUACAUAUUAAUAUAUAUAUACAGGGUGGAAAACUUGUAUUGUAAAAACGUGGAACUGAUAUAUACACAAUGAUGGUGAUAUUUGCGACGAGCAAUUUCUACGGAGUGAACAUAAUAAAAUUGUAAGAAGGAAAAGGAAGGGCAGAGUGGACGCUCAUCGAUGUGCAAAUAAGUGUGUCCGGAGACGCGCCGGUGAACGCUCGAUGGUAAAUAAUAUGGCGCGUGUUGGGCCGCAGUUGGUGACGUCAAGGAUUGAAAGGUAUGUCGAUGGUUCGAUGUAAAGAGGCUGGGCAACGAAAGUGGAUA